AAAAAAUAUAUGUUUAAUUACACAUUUAAAAAAAAAGUAUGUUAAACACAAGCAUACUUUUACAGAGGUUUUAGUGUAUUUAGAAAAAAAACAUAUUUUUUUUUAAACAUGUACAUUAAUUUUAAUAGGCUAACAUUGCAAUUUCAACAUCAUAUCAUUGAACUUGCAUUAUAUAUUGAUUUCACAAAGUUAGUCCACAUAAAUUUGUUAGUGUUUAUAUUCAAACAACACACGUGACGGACUGACUAAACCUCAUUGGUUCUUGGGAUUCAGUACGUCACAUUGGCUUCCUGAUUCAGUUGUUCGAUACACAACGUGCGUGAUCGUUGGUAAAUGUGGAUUAAAAGUUGAAACUAAAACUGUUAAAUUAUAUAUAGUGAUCAUCAGAGGACUUGGGUGAAACAACGCGAUUCACAUGGAUUACUUCGGCGAUGUUUUUUAUUGCUGUUGCGAUUAACUUUUUGAAAUGUGAGCAGUUUUUAAGUAGGUUAUCAAGUGGAUCUGACAUCGUGGGGAAAUAUACGUUUCUUGGAUUUCAUUAAAGUACAUCGGUUUUUGUUUGAAGAUGAAUGAGAGAACAUGAGGCACAGCGGCAUUCAAAUUGACCAAUCAGAGCCGAGAAUAUCUAAUAAGUCGAAGUAGAGAUGAACAGAUGAAGAUACAGCCCGUAAAAAUACUUAUUCUUGGUGAGUGCCAUGUAGCGACGGAUCAAACGGACACUCAUGUCAAGCUUGAUGAGGACACAGUCAAAGCUUUAAAAGACCUUGUGAUUAAGUCUUCAGUGUCUGAAUGGCAAGAAGAAGUGACCCUCCACUUAAACGUGACAUUUAAACUGCUCUGUGUUUUGGUUCAGCCAUUUGUAGGUUUAUCUCGAGUAAGUUCAAAUGCACUUCUGCAUUUGUCCAGUAACUUUUUGUUUAGAGAAUUACAUCAUUAUGAUUAUAUAAUUAUUCAAUGGUUGCAUAUUCAUAGUGUACUUUUCAUAUUGAUGUAUUAAUGUUCCACAAUUUGAUAAAAGUAGCUCAUUGCAUUUCAUUGAUCUUUGUUUUAUAUUGUAAAAUCAUUUCAAUGGCAGUGAGUACAUACUUAGUUGUUUCUUUGACAUUUAAUUAGCUGUUAAUGAUGGAAGAAACCGGUUCGUAUGUAUGAAUACAGAAUAGGUAUCAUUUUAGAAUGAGUUAAAACAUGUUUUGGUGGCAAACAUGCAGGUAAAAUAGUACAUGUAUAACAUUCUAAUAGUAAACUUGACUGAAAUUCAAAUGUCACAUACAGUACAUUAGAAAUGAUUUAUUUUAUGUAUACAAAUGUGUGGGCAAUAUAUUAUUAUUUCAUUUUGUAUGCUAUAUUAUUUAUGUUAUAUUAUUAUAUCUGAAAUUAUUAAAUUACAUUUAUAAAUGUUUAAAAGGUGGGUUCAAAUGUGCUUCAAGUUGUAACUGAAUACUAUUUUAGAAAAUAGGGACUUUAAGCAACAGCCUCUGGUGGAACGGCAACGGCAUUCUGACGUUGGUUUGCGCAUGCGCGAAUUUAAAUGCUACUUUGCGACGUUCUACUGUAACGGUCUACUACGGGAGAACAGCUGAUUUGCCGUAGUCGCUACAACGUGAGAGAAUAUGUAAAUAAAUGUUAUGUUUUAUGGCAUAUGACAUUGUAAUUGCAUCAGUUUAUGAUUGUACCAAAAGUCUUUUAUAUAAUAUGUGUUCAAAUGUUUGAAAUUUAAGCUAAUUUUAAAGAUUUUUAAUUAUUCAACAUUUUCAGUAUUGCUUAAAUCUAGGUUUUAAGAUUUAUUUACAUCAUACAAUAGUAAAAACUCUUCUUCUGACAAAAGAUUGUCAUUUAAUGCCAAAAGCAAUCCUUCUCUUGUUUUUUUAAAUGACAUAUUUUUGUAUCUUAAUAAAUGAAUUAAUACCGCGUUGCGCUGUUCUGUUUACGGUUGCUUAGUGAUUUUUACGUUCUUGGCUACGGCGGUCUGACAGCAUACUUCCGGUCGCCGUAGCCGUUCCAUUCCCAGCUGUUGCUUAAAGUCCCUAAUAGCACAGUUGAGUACACUUAGAUUGUCUUAAGUUUGUCUUAACAAGUACUAAAUACUACUUUUUAGUAUAUUAAGCACAAUUUACUGCACGAAAAUAAAGAGCUUUUGGUA